GUUGGAUACAGUGAUAUAUACUUCCAAGUAAAAUCAGGAGUAAGACAAGGGUGUGUCAUGUCAUCGACACUCUUCAUUAUAGUCAUUGACUGGAUAAUGAGACAAACAACAGCUAAUACACCAAGAGGCAUAAGAUGGGGCACUUUUACCACUUUGGAAGACCUAGAUUUUGCUGAUGACUUAGCAUUAAUGUCUCACACACACCAACAUAUUCAAGAUAAG
rnacentral:lncRNA from 1 species